rnacentral:rRNA from 1 species
GACGAACGCUGGCGGCGUGCCUAAUACAUGCAAGUGGGACGCAAGGGAACACACUGUGCUUGCACACCGUGUUUUCUUGAGUCGCGAACGGGUGAGUAACGCGUAGGUAACCUGCCUAUUAGCGGGGGAUAACUAUUGGAAACGAUAGCCAAUACCGCAUAAUAUUAAUUAUUGCAUGAUAAUUGAUUGAAAGAUGCAAGCGCAUCACUAGUAGAUGGACCUGCGUUGUAUUAGCUAGUUGGUAAGGUAAGAGCUUACCAAGGCGACGAUACAUAGCCGACCUGAGAGGGUGAUCGGCCACACUGGGACUGAGACACGGCCCAGACUCCUACGGGAGGCAGCAGUAGGGAAUCUUCGGCAAUGGACGAAAGUCUGACCGAGCAACGCCGCGUGAGUGAAGAAGGUUUUCGGAUCGUAAAGCUCUGUUGUAAGUCAAGAGCGUGUGUGAGAGUGGAAAGUUCACACA